AGUAACGCGUGGAUAACCUGCCUUACACUGGGGGAGUAACACUUAGAAAUAGGUGCUAAUACCGCAUAAGCGCACAGCUUCGCAUGAAGCAGUGUGAAAAACUCCGGUGGUAUACGAUGGAUCCGCGUCUGAUUAGCUGGUUGGCGGGGUAAAAGCCCACCAAGGCGACGAUCAGUAGCCGGCCUGAGAGGGUGAACGGCCACAUUGGGACUGAGAUACGGCCCAGACUCCUACGGAAGGCAGCAG
rnacentral:rRNA from 1 species